AAUGUGGGUGAUGUUAACAUGUCCUUAGGUUGGUCUUAUUUGGCCGUCUUGGUCAAAGUCUUUGACCUUCCAAUGUUAGGAUUCGUCAUAGUUACACUGACACAUG
ensembl:snoRNA SNORD46 small nucleolar RNA, C/D box 46